rfam:Staphylococcus chromogenes MT 970 SCHR_MT970Contig03, whole genome shotgun sequence.
CGGACCAAGUAGAAGCACCCGCUUCUCACCUGUAGCGACGCAUAAAGCAGUUGGCAGGUAAACGAUAACAUGUGAAAGAAGUUCAUGUGAAUUUAGAAGCGGGGACAUAGACUGUCCUCGCUUCUUUUUUGUACU